UGGCCACAAUGAGCUGGGUUGUUUAGGGU
rnacentral:piRNA from 1 species